UUGGCUUGUUGACUGUUUACACACCCACGUAGAGGGGUGAAGAGGGGCUUGAUAUUCUCACCUGAGUAUCAAACUGCUUUCUACCUCCUCUUGUACAAAACUGGUUUGAUUGCAUGUGGCCUAAGGAAGAGUAUAUAAAGGAGUUCGAGUAUACAGAGGCCAGGGCGGACUAGGGCUGGGGGUCCAUCUAUGUGGGUAAAGAGAAGCCCUCAUCCCUGCUGGGUAAGGCUUUUCAGGUGCAGCAUUUUGGGGGAGGGUCACUCACACCCCUAUAGGAAGCCCAAUAAACUCACUGGUUCCCCAGAGUGGAGUUGGGCAGAAUUGUGCCUUAUUUUGUCGUUGGGCCCUUGGGAGGAGGGGUAGAUGUUGCCCACAUCUGCUCUGGGGAAAGGAAUUUCAGCAGCACCUUCUCAGGCUUGUCAUUACUGAACUGGCCUCUUGUCCAGGUGGGGGACAGCAGAGCUGGCAGUGAAGGCUGUGUCAGUGGCCACUUAUGGGGUGCCAUGACUCCUGGAAGGAAGCCUGGCAGAAAAACCACGUAUAGAUCAGAAGUGCUGCCCGUGGAAACCAUCAGAAACAUUAGAACAGACUGGAUCUCUCUGGAAUCCAGGCAGAGCUGCUGGCCUAGGACUGGACUCUGCUUGCUGGCAGAUUCAGGAUCUUUGCCCUCAGCGCAUUCAUGGCCUAGUGAGUUGCGGGGCUGCUGCAGACUGGCUGGAGAGAGUACUUCUCUGGCACGAUGGAAGGAAGUUGGCCCGGAGGUCUGAAUCUAAGAGCCAACUGAUCUUGGACCAAAAUCUCCAAAACUGGGAGCCAAACAACUUCUUCACUGCUAGGGACUAGGGAUGGACCCCAGGGCCCUGCGAAUGCUAGAAACUUAAGAGCAAGUCUGGAUUUCUACUCUUGUCCGAGACCUUACCAAAGAAUUGUCUGGCUGUCAAGCUUCUUUGUAGGAAGAUGGUUCUCAUCCUAACUCUAAAUCAGUGUUUCUGGUUAUACUAACAGAGGCCAAGCAUCUUGAAAGAGAAUCUUCAAAACCGGGGAAGUACUUCAGUUCUUGUGGGAGGAGGCGGAGGACAGAGGAAAGACUCCCCCAGGUGAAAGAGGUCUCCUUAGCAAUAGGUCAUGGGCCCAGGGUUCCUCCGGGGUAACUGUGCCUUUCCUUUCUCUUGGCUGACAUGCCAAACCCACUUGAUGCUCAUGUCAGCUUGGGCUUGUCACUCGGGUGGAAGAGCGGUCCUUUGCAUGCUGUCUUCAGCCCUGCAAGCUUGGAUGUUUCCAGAGCUUUCAAGCGUUUUCCUGGACCAGCUCAGUUCAGCCGGUUCAACUUUCAUGCCUUGUUAUGGCAGUGGGGCUUGAGGGCCCAUCAAGCUGUUACCUCCAGAGCUUUCUCGUUGUCUCCACGGCUUUCUCCAUGGUCGUGUAGACGUGGGGAAGGGGUCAGUACAGCAUUGCCUUGGUGUAUGAGGGGAGGUUGCUUAAACAGGAGUCUCUCUCCCGCCCACACUUGCUGCAAAACUGUUUCUCUGUCGUCUGCUGAUAUUAAAUGUGUGUCUCAGCACUCUGCCGCGGGCGCCUCACCUCCAGGACGCUCACCAGAGGGGUUCUCCUGGCUGAGUCACCUGGGAAGCUAGGGUAGUGCAGUCUGUGUCGCAGCCAGUGUUGGAAAUGUUAUUAGAACACAGCGUGAGACAUCAACAUCUCGAAAACGCGAAUCACUUUGGGAAUUUGGCUUUGCAGCCAUGAACACCAUCCAUAACCAGAGGUCUUCAGAGCCAAUAAAGUGCAUACGACGUGACGGGGAGCUCAGCUACAUUCAGGGAGUUCAGACUUCAGGUUAGAAGUGACCGUGGCAGGAAGUUAGGUACCUAUGUCCUUUGUUCUGUCUCCUAAGAAUGAAGGAAUGUCUAGUUUUGUGUGUUUGUUUUUUUAAGAAUAUCUGUUUUAGUCAGGAAUUUUCAUUUUAGAAGCAAUAUAAGAAAGAUUAUGGGUCAGGUCUCCCUCGCUCUCGCUCUUCCUCCCUUCCUCAUUUUUUCUUUCCUUUUAUCAUGUCUGAAGCAGCUGCCACAUGGUUGUUACUGUGAUAGAAUCAAGAGCCAUGUUCCUGGGACUAGAGGGAUGGCUCAGAGGUUAAGAGCAUUGCUGCUCUUCCAGAGGACCUGAGUUCAAUUCCCAGCACCCACAUGGCAGCUCACAACUGUCUGUAACUCCUGUAUCAGGAGAUCCGAAGCCCUCAUACCCACAUAUGUGCAGGCAAAACACCAAUGUACAAAAAAUAAAAGUAAAUAAGUUAUUUUCAAAAAAGGAGUUCAUAUUCCUGCUUAUAAACAUCUUUCUCUUGGCCUUCACUUCAGCCCUUGAGUACAUGCCUCACACAGUUUGGUUAAGUAAUAACAAUUAUCAGUCUUAGAGAGGGCACCCAGUGACCUAUCUACCUACCUAUCUGUCUGUCUGUCUAUCUAUCUAUCAUCUAUCUAUCCAUCUCUGUGAAUUCAUAGCUUCUAGAGAUGAGGGUCUUGCUUCUAGAAAACCCCUUUUGCUGAUAGAUUUCUACAUUAUCUAUUUUAGUAUUCAAUACAACUAAAAAGGUAUGUCUGACUGUCUCUAUCUUUUUGAUGAAUAAAUUAAGUGUUGGCAAGGUCAAUUCAGGUUUUCGGAACUACACAGCUCUUUGGGGUCCAGGCCAAAGCUGCCUGAGU